AGGAUGAACGCUGGCGGCGUGCCUAAUACAUGCAAGUCGAGCGGUAAGGCCCCUUCGGGGGUACACGAGCGGCGGACGGCUGAGUAACACGUAGGAACGUACCCCAAACUGAGGGAUAAGCACCAGAAAUGGUGUCUAAUACCGCAUGUGCUCUUCGGAGUAAAGCUUCGGCGGUUUGGGAGCGGCCUGCGCAUGAUUAGCUUGUUGGUGAGGUAAAAGCUCACCAAGGCGACGAUCAUUAGCUGGUCUGAGAGGAUGAUCAGCCAGACUGGGACUGAGAACGGCCCAGACUCCGUACGGGAGCAGCAGUAGGGAAUUUUUCCACAAUGGGCGAAA
rnacentral:rRNA from 1 species